GUGCCAGCCGCCGCGGUAAUACCGGCAGCACGAGUGAUGGCCGAUCUUAUUGGGCCUAAAGCGUCCGUAGCCGGCCGAGCGGGUCCGUCGGGAAAUCCACGUGCUCAACGCGUGGGCGUCCGGCGGAAACCACUCGGCUUGGGGCCGGAAGACUCGAGGGGUACGUCUGGGGUAGGAGUGAAAUCCCGUAAUCCUGGACGGACCGCCGGUGGCGAAAGCACUCUGAGAAGACGGCUUCGACAGUGAGGGACGAAAGCUAGGGUCUCAAACCGGAUUAGAAACCCCGGUAGUCC
rnacentral:rRNA from 1 species